CUCGUUUGUUGUGUCCUCCCUUGUCUGAGAAAGCUCCUCUUGAAGACUGUAGACCAAGCGGCACCCACUUACGCACACCUCACAGUUGAUGACCAAGAUUUCCAAAAAGUCAACUCGCCCUGUAUACUGCUACAAUCUAUCCCGUUUAUUGAUAAAGUGCAAGAGUUCUAGGAAGGGACCAGCUUAGGGACAGCAUCUGUCUGUCUGGGAAGUCUACCGUGCGGAGAUGUGGUGGGUUAGCCACCUCGGGAUACCCAUGGAGUGAAGUGUUCGAGUGCCCAGCGGACAGAUGAGUUAGCCAAUUAGGGACAGACAAAGGGACAGCUUUGCACUUUGCAAUAACACCUAGCUAGCGGGUCACGGGGUUUCUGUGCCUUUGGGCUAACACGUCUUCUGAUACUAACAAAUAAAGAUUAUCUUUUAGAAUCUAACAUUUCAUAGGGGGGACUGAUGUAGAAUUAUUAAAAUCUUUAUUAGAACCUGUAUUGAAUUAUUGUACUAAC